GUACACGCUGUGACUAGCAUAUCAAUAAGCGGAGGAAAAGAAACUAACAAGGAUUCCCCUAGUAACGGCGAGUGAAGCGGGAAGAGCUCAAAUUUGAAAUCUUAAAGGGUUUCCCUUUACGAAUUGUAGUUUAAAGAAGUGUUUUCUGUUGAGGUUUUGGUAAAAGUUCUUUGGAAUAGGACAUCAUAGAGGGUGAGAAUCCCGUAUUUGACCUUUACUUUCAACUUUGUGAUACACUUUCAAAGAGUCGGAUUGUUUGGGAAUGCAGUCCAAAAUGGGUGGUAAAUUUCAUCUAAAGCUAAAUAUUGGCGAGAGACCGAUAGCGAACAAGUACCGUGAGGGAAAGAUGAAAAGAACUUUGAAAAGAGAGUUAAACAGUACGUGAAAUUGUCAAAAGGGAAGCGUUUGACACCAGUGUUGUUUUUCUGAAAAUCAAUUAAAGAACUGUUUAUGCUAAGCUGUCUAGACUUUAUCAGCUAUCUGUUUAGUUUUAGGCUUUUCUUUAAUGCACUUUUCAGUUAACAAGUCAACAUCAAUUUCUUUUGCUGUAAAAAAGGCUUGAGGAAGGUGGCUUGAGAUUCGUCUUAAGUGUUUAUAGCCUCUUGCCUAUGCAGUCGGAGAGAUUGAGGUCUGCAGCGUAGAUCCUUCGGGGCUAAAUGCAUUUGUGCUAAGUUAUAGCAUUUUAUAGACAACUUGUUGACUAUGAUUUGUCUUGUAGCUUACUCGCUUAUGUUAUUUUACCUACGCUUAGGAUGUUGAAGUCAUCGUAUCGCGC
rnacentral:rRNA from 1 species